rnacentral:lncRNA from 1 species
CCAGGCUGGGGGAGCAAGGAGGGAGGGGAGGAAGAGGUGGUAGCUGUGUUUGACCUGAUUUAAAUAUCACUUUCUUUUUGUUGUCUCUCGUCCCCCACCCCCAUGAUGCCUGAGGGUGGCUACUGCUGAAGACAAGCAAGUGUCUGUUCUAUGCUUUAUUGGUUCCCCCGCUCAUCUGCUCCCCCUGCUCAUCUGUUCCUAUCAGCACUACUGUUACUGCGGAAGGGCUCCUAGCUUAAGAAUCAGACAGCACUGACUUGUGUGUGACCCUUCCCCCUGCCCACGAAUACUAGAACAGUGUACACCAGUUCCAAUAUAAACUGUGCUGCUCGGCGCUUGUACCCUGCAGAGCGUCCAAUAACUUUUGCUGAGCCAUCCAAGCCCAAGAAAAAAUAACCCACUGUGACAAAACAAAGGCAGCUUUAGCUCAGGCCGGUACCCGCCAGUCAGGAGAGGCAGGCGAGGGCACCUCUGGGCAAGCAUGGUCUUUGGUGUGCUGCCAAGCUGACUGUCCUGAGUGUGACAAAGCAAGGGAGGGGCCCAGUGGGCCCCAGUCAAUGAGAAACAGAUCUGCCCUAAAAAUAACAGUGAAUGAACAGGCUUGCUUACACUGUCUUGCUUCAGAACUGGUUUGGCACAAAAUCAGACCUAAUGAUAGGUUCAGAAGGAAAAAUUCAUGGUUGGGAUUUGGAAUCCUCUGAGCCAACCAGUUAUCCACAAACAAGUCCACGGCUCUUCCGCUGGGUUUCCCAGAAGGUCUUCCAGGACAGGUCUCUUGUCAUCAUGGAGGACUCCACAGUCCUAUCUGGAGUCGCCUACUCCGGAGUGGAGAGAUGGAGAAGACUAAUCUUCACAAAAUCAACCAACAGCAGCAGUGAUGGCUGAUGACAGCAUGAAGAAGAAUCCUUCCUGUUGGAGCCAUUGAUCAUCUAUUCCCAUGACUAAUUGUGUGAUCCUGUUAAUGUAACAAAAUACCUGAAGCUGGGUACUUUAUAAGAAAAGAGAUGAGGUCAUCCAAAUAUCCCUGGAGCCAGCUGCCACCAGUCAGGGCUUUGGAUGCCUGCUCUGCAAUCCCUGCUGACCCACCACACUCCUUCACUUGGAAAGUCCCGACUCUGGCAAAGAGCUGCCCUUGAAGUAGGUACUUCAAAGGGGCCACAGGCUACUGGAAAGCGUUCAGAUCUCUUAUCUGAGGAGCAGGGAUGACCACCAGUGCUGACCGGCCCUACCUGCUGUUUCCUGGCAGAUUAACUCUACUUGGUGUUGUUCCUACUUUGGCAGAUUAAUACGGAGCUCUCUGAUGCUUAUGCAACAGAACAACUGUUUACAUGAAUGCUUCUUGAACAGCUACGCAAUUGUCAAUCCUGAUGACUUUGGAAAUACCUUACUGUGAUUUAUUUAGCACAGAUAAAUUACAACUGCCACUUAGCAGGCUUGAGAGGACACUUGAAAAUGCAGCAGAUCCUUGCUAUGAUUAGAGUCUCCUCCUGCGGAAAGGGCCAUAUGCAAGUUCUACCUUCCCCACUGGGCUUCUUAAGAGGGGAUGAAAAUGUCCUCAUUCUACAAGUAAGUCAAGGACUAUAGAAGCAAUGUUGAACUUUUACUCUGGUAAGCUUCCCAAGGGUGCAAGGCUGCUGUGAACCCUUGAAGGCAAUGAACCUAAAUACCAAGGUUCCAAUCUAAAGAACCAAGCUGCUGGCAGGCAGCAGCAGGGGGGAAGUUAAGUCAGCAGAACCUGCUAAACCUGCUGGGGGCAGCUUCAGAGACACCCCUCAAGAACUAGUCAAAGGAGCUGUGGGGUAAAUAAACCCCAUUCCCAGCCCCCAGGGAGAUCCUGAUGUGCAUUUCAUGGGAUUUUACAGUGUGUCUCCAGCAGGAUGGAACCUCCCUUCAGAACACCAGGAAAUCAGCUGUUAGCUCUUUUCCCUUCUCCAUUUCCAAUUCCCUGUCCCUCACCAUGCUUUGUGUUUAUUUCCACAAAAGGCACUUUGCACCAAAGCUCUGGCUUCCAGGUGAACACAACCCAAACUGAGACAUACCUUGAUUUUCUUUUCAUUUCAUAACACUAAUAUUCUCUAGUAGGUGAGGUGUCUGAAGGAGAAUGUUCCCCAUAGCCUGAUGUAUGUGGACACUCAGUUCCCGGUUGGUAGCGUUGUUUGGGAAGGUUGUGGAGAGGCAGAUCCUGGCUGAAGACAUCCAUCCCUGGGUCACUGUGGUAGGCUUUGAGAGGUUAUGCCUGCACACACUUCCAAUCUGGAUUCUGCCUCACUUUGCAGUUGAGAAUUGAUUACUCGGCGUCCCGCUCUGACCACCUGCUACUGGGUCUUUUCUAGCGUUAUGCACUCUCCUUUGCAACUGUAAGCCAAAAUAAGUAGUUUCUUCUGUAAGUUGCUUUUAACCAUGGUGUUUUAUAACAGCAACAAAAAUAACUAAUAUACAUACUGAGCUACCUUUUCUUUUCUUAUUGUGUAUGUAACCCCUCCAAAAUGUAAGCCUUAUUCUGAUGUUGUGAGACAUAUGUAUAUAUAGUGUGUGUGUGUGUGUGUGUGUGUGUGUGUGUGUGUUCCUGAUACAAGAAAGACUCUUGGUCUCUCUAGAGUGAUGAGUGUCAUUUUGUUUAUGGGAUAACUGAUUGAUGGGGCAGGAGGUCUGGUCUUUAGACUGCUUCAAGAUGGGAGCUGGUUGUCAGCAAACCAAGGCAUGAAUAAGGACCUAGAACCUGGAGUAAAGCUGAGGUUAAGUUAAUUACCAGCUACUAAUAAUUUAAUCAGUUAUACUAACAUAAUAGAACUGCCAUCGAAACCCUAGAUAAU